AGUGGCGAACGGGUGAGUAAAGCAUCGGAACGUGCCCAGUAGUGGGGGAUAGCCCGGCGAAAGCCGGAUUAAUACCGCAUACGACCUAAGGGUGAAAGGGGGGGAUCGCAAGACCUCUCGCUAUUGGAGCGGCCGAUGUCAGAUUAGCUAGUUGGUGGGGUAAAGGCCUACCAAGGCGACGAUCUGUAGCUGGUCUGAGAGGACGACCAGCCACACUGGGACUGAGACACGGCCCAGACUCCUACGGGAGGCAGCAGUGGGGAAUUUUGGACAAUGGACGAAAGUCUGAUCCAGCCAUGCCGCGUGCGGGAAGAAGGCCUUCGGGUUGUAAACCGCUUUUGUCAGGGAAGAAAUCUUCUGGGUUAAUAACUCGGGAGGAUGACGGUACCUGAAGAAUAAGCACCGGCUAACUACGUACCAGCAGCCGCGGUAAUACGUAGGGUGCAAGCGUUAAUCGGAAUUACUGGGCGUAAAGCGUGCGCAGGCGGUUAUGCAAGACAGAUGUGAAAUCCCCGGGCUCAACCUGGGAACUGCAUUUGUGACUGCAUAGCUGGAGUGCGGCAGAGGGGGAUGGAAUUCCGCGU
rnacentral:rRNA from 1 species